UACGUAGGGGGCAAGCGUUGUCCGGAAUCAUUGGGCGUAAAGAGCGCGUAGGCGGUCCGGUAAGUCCGCUCUGAAAGUCCGGGGCUCAACCCCGGGAGGCGGGCGGAUACUGGCGGGCUAGAGUCCGGAAGAGGCGAGUGGAACUCCUGGUGUAGCGGUGAAAUGCGCCGAUAUCAGGAGGAACACCAGUGGCGAAGGCAGCUCGCUGGGACGGUACUGACGCUGAGGCGCGAAAGCGUGGGGAGCAAACAGG
rnacentral:rRNA from 1 species